rnacentral:rRNA from 1 species
AGCGAACGCUGGCGGCAGGCCUAACACAUGCAAGUCGAGCGGCCGUAGCAAUACGGCAGCGGCAGACGGGAGAGUAACACGUGGGAACGUGCCCAUCAGUUCGGAACAACCCAGGGAAACUUGGGCUAAUACCGGAUACGCCCUUACGGGGAAAGAUUUAUCGCUGAUGGAGCGGCCCGCGUCUGAUUAGCUUGUUGGUGAGGUAACGGCUCACCAAGGCGACGAUCAGUAGCUGGUCUGAGAGGAUGAUCAGCCUCACUGGGACUGAGACACGGCCCAGACUCCUACGGGAGGCAGCAGUGGGGAAUAUUGGACAAUGGGCGCAAGCCUGAUCCAGCCAUGCCGCGUGGAUGAUGAAGGCCCUAGGGUUGUAAAGUCCUUUCGGCGGGGAAGAUAAUGACGGUACCCGCAGAAGAAGCCCCGGCUAACUUCGUGCCAGCCGCCGCAGUAA